rnacentral:rRNA from 1 species
GAUGAACGCUGGCGGCGUGCCUAAUACAUGCAAGUCGAGCGAACGGACGAGAAGCUUGCUUCUCUGAUGUUAGCGGCGGACGGGUGAGUAACACGUGGAUAACCUACCUAUAAGACUGGGAUAACUUCGGGAAACCGGAGCUAAUACCGGAUAAUAUUUUGAACCGCAUGGUUCAAAAGUGAAAGACGGUCUUGCUGUCACUUAUAGAUGGAUCCGCGCUGCAUUAGCUAGUUGGUAAGGUAACGGCUUACCAAGGCAACGAUGCAUAGCCGACCUGAGAGGGUGAUCGGCCACACUGGAACUGAGACACGGUCCAGACUCCUACGGGAGGCAGCAGUAGGGAAUCUUGCGCAAAGGGCGAAAGCCUGACGGAGCAACGCCGCGUGAGUGAUGAAGGUCUUCGGAUCGUAAAACUCUGUUAUUAGGGAAGAACAUAUGUGUAAGUAACUGUGCACAUCUUGACGGUACCUAAUCAGAAAGCCACGGCUAACUACGUG